rnacentral:rRNA from 1 species
AGCUAAUACUUGCUUUAGCACUCUUGAUUAAGUUCUUGAGUGUGUACUUGUUAAGCCUUUUAAGAAAAAAGUUAUUAACUUAAGGAAUUAUAACAAAGAAGUAACACGUAAAUGGAUUUUCCAUUUUUUAGUGUGUAUCAAUCGAGUUUCUGACCUAUCAGCUUUUGAUGUUAGGGUAUUGGCCUAACAUGGCUAUGACGGGUAACGGGGAAUUAGAGUUCGAUUCCGGAGAGGGAGCCUGAGAAAUAGCUACCACAUCUAAGGAAGGCAGCAGGCGCGUAAAUUACCCAAUUCUAAAGAAGAGAGGUAGUGACAAGAAAUAACAAUACAAGGCCAAUCUGGCUUUGUAAUUGGAAUGAUGGGAAUUUAAAACCUUCCCAAAACUCAAUUGGAGGGCAAGUCUGGUGCCAGCAGCCGCGGUAAUUCCAGCUCCAAUAGCGUAUAUUAAAAUUGUUGCAGUUAAAACGCUCGUAGUUGAAUUUCAAAGAAUCGAUAUUUUAAGUAACGCUUUGUAGAUUAAUCCACAUAACUGAUACUACGUAUCGACUUUGUGCGCAUUUUUCUACUUAUGUGUUCUUUUAAUUAAAAUGAUUCUUUUUAAGAUCAUUCUUUUUUGCUUCGGCAUUUUAGGAGAUCUUGUUACUUUGAGUAAAUUAGAGUGUUCAAAGCAAACAGAUUAUAGCAUCUUUAUGCGUUUGAAUACUACAGCAUGGAAUAACAAAAUUGAACAAGUCAGAAUUUUGUUCUUUUUUCUUAUUUUGGCUUAGUUACGAUUAAUAGGAGUAGCUUGGGGGCAUUUGUAUUCAGAUGUCAGAGGUGAAAUUCUUAGAUUUUCUGGAGACAAACAACUGCGAAAGCAUUAGCCUAAAAUACUUCCAUUAAUCGAGAACGAAAGUUAAGGGAGUGAAGACGAUCAGACACCGUCGUAAUCUUAACCAUAAACUAUGCCGACUAGGUUUUGGAUGAAAGUAAAACAAAUAAGGAUAGUCUCUUCGGGGAUAGUCCUUAGAUUUCUUCCUUCAGUACCCUAUGAGAAAUCAAAGUCUUUGGGUUCUCAUAAGGCUUUGGAUGAAAGAUUUUAAAAUAAGAGUUUUUUCUCUGAGGAGUUAAAACUCUUAGAUUGCUUCCUUCAGUGCCUUAUGAGAAAUCAAAGUCUUUGGGUUCUGGGGCGAGUAUUCGCGCAAGCGAGAAAGUUAAAAGAAUUGACGGAAGGGCACCACCAGGCGUGGAGCUUGCGGCUUAAUUUGACUCAACACGGGAAAACUCACUAGUUUAAGGCAAGAGUAGGAUUGACAGAUUAAUAGCUCUUUCUUGAUUUCUUGGAUGGUGAUGCAUGGCCGUUUUUAGUUCGUGAAUAUGAUUUGUCUGGUUAAUUCCGAUAACGAACGAGAUCUUAACCUGCUAAUUAGCGGCAAAUACGAUAUAUUCUUAUGUGGAAUUGAAUAUAGUUGAUUUGCUUAUUUUGAAGAAAAUAUUGGGAUACGUAAAUGUAUCCCUUUCCCUUUUCUACUUAAUUUGCUUAUUAUACUAUUUCUUUUUUGCGUAAGAAUGUAUUUGCUUGAUUGUAAAGCUUCUUAGAGGAACGAUGUGUGUCUAACACAAG